rnacentral:tRNA from 6 species
GAUCCGGUAGUUCAGCUGGUUAGAAUGCCGCCCUGUCACGGCGGAGGUCGCGGGUUCGAGUCCCGUCCGGAUCGCGA